GAUGAACGCUGGCGGCGUGCCUAAUACAUGCAAGUCGAGCAAACAGACGAGGAGCUUGCUCCUCUGACGUUAGCGGCGGACGGGUGAGUAACACGUGGAUAACCUACCUAUAAGACUGGGAUAACUUCGGGAAACCGGAGCUAAUACCGGAUAACAUGUUGAACCGCAUGGUUCAACAGUGAAAGACGGUUUUGCUGUCACUUAUAGAUGGAUCCGCGUCGCAUUAGCUAGUUGGUAAGGUAACGGCUUACCAAGGCAACGAUGCGUAGCCGACCUGAGAGGGUGAUCGGCCACACUGGAACUGAGACACGGUCCAGACUCCUACGGGAGGCAGCAGUAGGGAAUCUUCCGCAAUGGGCGAAAGCCUGACGGAGCAACGCCGCGUGAGUGAAGAAGGUCUUCGGAUCGUAAAACUCUGUUAUUAGGGAAGAACAAAUGUGUAAGUAACUAUGCACGUCUUGACGGUACCUAAUCAGAAAGCCACGGCUAACUACGUG
rnacentral:rRNA from 1 species